UUACCUCUUGACUUCACGGCAGAUGCUAUUUUCCUUCUUAUGAGGAACUGAUGAGUCUGCUUUUAAAAUGAGCUGGAGAAAAUUCCAAACAUGACCUGUAGUGGACAGACUACAAGGAAUCACCCACCACAUCACAGUAAUGUCCCUCGAUCCCUGACUGCCCCCUCUAAGGCUAUGCUGGUUCACCAUGGCUUCUCUUUCUUAUCUUCUUAAAUCUAUUCGUGCAUAUGAGAAAGAGGAAGAGGGGUGAAAGUCAAAGGACAAGAUGGAGGCCAGCCUGAUCUACAUAGCAAAGCCUUGUCUCAACACCCACCCUCUAAGGUUGUUUGAACCAAAUCCCUGCCGCUGACUGUAUAAGAUAGGAAUAAUUCCUACAUGUGUAGAUGCCAUUUUUCAUUUGUUGAAAUAUCUAAAGAUCUUGCUAGAAGUAGAAGUGUGCUAAAUGCUCUUGACAUAGUAGGUGUCUUAGGAUUUCACUUCUGACCGCAUCACCGUUAGAUUAAAAAAAAAAAAA
rnacentral:lncRNA from 1 species